rnacentral:rRNA from 1 species
UACGUAGGGUGCGAGCGUUAAUCGGAAUUACUGGGCGUAAAGCGUGCGCAGGCGGUUUUGUAAGCCAGAUGUGAAAUCCCCGGGCUUAACCUGGGAAUGGCAUUUGGGACUGCAAGGCUCGAGUGCGGAAGAGGAGACUGGAAUUCCUGGUGUAGCAGUGAAAUGCGUAGAUAUCAGGAGGAACACCGAUGGCGAAGGCAGGUCUCUGGGCUGAAACUGACGCUCAUGCACGAAAGCGUGGGGAGCAAACAGG